GACGUAGGGCGCGAGCGUUGUCCGGAUUUAUUGGGCGUAAAGAGCUCGUAGGCGGCUUGUCGCGUCGACCGUGAAAACUCGCAGCUCAACUGCGAGCCUGCGGUCGAUACGGGCAGGCUAGAGUUCGGUAGGGGAGACUGGAAUUCCUGGUGUAGCGGUGAAAUGCGCAGAUAUCAGGAGGAACACCGAUGGCGAAGGCAGGUCUCUGGGCCGAUACUGACGCUGAUGCGCGAAAGCGUGGGGAGCAAACAGG
rnacentral:rRNA from 1 species